rnacentral:rRNA from 1 species
UACGGGGGGAGCUAGCGUUUUUCGGAAUUACUGGGCGUAAAGGGCGCGUAGGCGGUCGAUAAAGUUGAAAGUGAAAUCCCCGAGCUUAACUUGGGAACUGCUUUCAAAACUCAUUGACUAGAGGACGAUAGAGGAUAGCAGAAUUCCUAGUGUAGAGGUGAAAUUCUUAGAUAUUAGGAGGAAUACCAGUGGCGAAGGCGGCUAUCUGGGUCGUUUCUGACGCUAAGGCGCGAAAGCGUGGGGAG